AUUGAACGCUGGCGGCAUGCCUUACACAUGCAAGUCGAACGGUAACAGGUCUUUCGGGAUGCUGACGAGUGGCGAACGGGUGAGUAAUACAUCGGAACGUGCCUAGUAGUGGGGGAUAACUACUCGAAAGAGUGGCUAAUACCGCAUGAGAUCUAUGGAUGAAAGCAGGGGACCUUCGGGCCUUGUGCUACUAGAGCGGCCGAUGGCAGAUUAGGUAGUUGGUGGGAUAAAAGCUUACCAAGCCUACGAUCUGUAGCUGGUCUGAGAGGACGAUCAGCCACACUGGGACUGAGACACGGCCCAGACUCCUACGGGAGGCAGCAGUGGGGAAUUUUGGACAAUGGGCGCAAGCCUGAUCCAGCAAUGCCGCGUGCAGGAUGAAGGCCUUCGGGUUGUAAACUGCUUUUGUACGGAACGAAAAGUCUUGGGUUAAUACCCUGGGAUCAUGACGGUACCGUAAGAAUAAGCACCGGCUAACUACGUGCCAGCCGCCGCCGUAA
rnacentral:rRNA from 1 species